rnacentral:lncRNA from 1 species
AGAUCAAGAAGCUCUUCAACCUUGGCAAGGAUGAUGAUGUCCGCAGCUAUGUCAACACAUACCGCAGGACCUUCCUUAACAAGAAGGGUGAGUUCUCAACCGUGCCCUAUUCUUGUUCCAUCUUGGAUCCUGCUUGCCCACUUUCACUUUUCUUUAGGAAAAAUAUUCUUUCCUUGUAAUAUCAUAGUGCUUGUCUGAGCAGUUUUGUGUCUCUCAUUUACUUCUUUCUUACCUAGAUCAUAUUGUUCCUUAUUUCCAGGCAAGAAGGUGAGCAAGGCUCCCAAGAUCCAGCGCCUUGUGACUCCCUUGACACUCCAGAGGAAGCGCGCCAGAAUAGCAGACAAGAAGAAGAGGAUCGCAAAGAAGAAGUCAGAGGCUGCAGAGUACCAGAAGCUGCUUGCACAGAGGCUCAAGGAGCAGAGAGACCGCCGCAGCGAGAGCAUGGCCAAGAGGAGGUCGAAGCUGUCUGCUGCCACCAAGGCUCCUGCUGCCUCUGCCUAAGAUGUUUACAGUCUUCCGUUAUUAGCUGUAAUAGUGGAAGAAUUUCUCGCACUUUGUUGGAUGAUAUGAAUCUAGCUGCUACUUUCAGCGUUGUUGAGUUGUAAUUGAUGCUGUUUUGCGUGAACAUGGGUACCUUAAUCGUCAGGAGUUUGUUACUGAAUGAACAAAAUUGCAUGAACUUGGAUAAUUGAUGCAGUUUUGUGUGAACAUGGAAUCUUAUCAAGAGGUACUUGUUACUCAAGUUCUAUGGUGGUUCAGGUUGA